AGUAAGAUCAGCUAAUUAAGCUAGUGGACUCAUACUCCAAAAAUGAUUUAUCUCUUACUA
rnacentral:tRNA from 1 species